rnacentral:tRNA from 1 species
GGGGACGUAGCUCAAUUGGUAGAGCAAUAAUAAACCAUGCAUGUUUAUAGGCACGAGGUUUGAUUCCUUGCAUCUCCA